GAGGGCGAGCCAAAUAUGUCUGAAAAUAUGCAGAAAAAAUAACUUAAAUUCUACCGCAUUAUAAUAAAUGUUCGUUACGGACGUUAUAAUGGAAGAAGAGAGUUUGGCGAAAGUCAUCGAAAAACAAGCAGACACAGCCACACUGUAGUUAGCUAGCUACCAGUCUAGUUUAACGCAGUUAAAUAGCAAAUGUUUGUUAGCGCAACCUUAGAAAUCUGUAUCGAGGCUUCAAAAUUCAGGUAGCGUUACAUAUUAAAAACGGGAAUAGGAAUGUUAAAUACUUCAGCUAGCAAAUUAAUAGUAGCUAACUAAUCAUUUAAAUUAUUAGCCAUGUCGGUUUGAAAACCGCCAUUUUUUCAGAAUAUGGUAGCGGGGAUACUGUUAGCUUUCUGCUGAAGGAAACUUUAGAAGAUAUUUUAAAUGUGCUCCCUGCGUGCUCUUCAGCAAUUUUGUAUUAUGCGAUGAUGGUGAAUAAAUGGAAUUCGCUUGCUAGCAAUCUUGUAUAGAAGUACUAACCGGAGGGAAAUGCAUCGCGUGCCGAGGGUUAGCUAGCAAUCUAGACAGCUAGCUAGGUGUUGCCAUGCCUAUGUAAUGAGAACCAGUUGGUAAAUUAUCGUUACUUUGUUGGUGUAAAUUAGACUAGAUAAUGUUCUGAAAAAUGUUAAUGAUGUGACUAUUAAUAUUUAGUUUAGUUAUCUAGUUGACUAUAUGCGCUACCCUAGUGUUACAUAGCUAUCAUUUAGUCUAUUAGAGUACUGUUCUAGCUUGCCAAUUAUUUGGCUGUGAAUCGGCAUCCUAGGUAAGCCUUUUAAAAACGUAGCGGGUAGGCAAACUAACUAGUGCUUAUAAUAAGUUAUAUCUGGUUAUUUGUAUAACAUUCGAUAUAUUUUGCACAUGGAUAUAAUGCCAUGCUGCUAGCAGCGUUCCUGGCGCAUGAUCCGUUUGAGCUGCUCGUAUUUUCCGGCUGGUUGUUGUCGCCUCUUUUUUUCAAGCUUGUUAGACAAGUUCGAGUAAAGCAUUUUAUUCUAUUGCAUAUAAUUUGAUUGCUGCAAAACGCCAUUUUCGCAACUAGGUAACAUUAGCGGGACUAAGUUUAGUUCCAAUUACGUACGGUAGCUAAAGGAAUCACUGUGAGUGAUGGAAUCUUGUUGCAUGGACUAUGUGGCUAGCUAUACGUGCGCUAGGUAACUAUUCCGUAUGCUAGCUUCAUAGUAUACCUAAACUAACAAGCUACAUUGUGAAAUAAUUAUGGCCGUUAUUUUUAUUAACUACUAACGUAGCUAGCUGCAUGUCAAAAGUAUUUUUGUUGCGUUUCCCUGAAUCACAAUCACAGCUGCCCACGUUACGAGUUCUUUUUGUUUUUUGUAUUUUUUGAGCAGUCACAUUUACUGAUCCUGCCGUUUCACAACCUACACGAGGAUGAACGUCCUUCUUUUUGGCCCCCUCAUUGGUUAAAAAUAGUUUCGGCGCUCCAGUUUGGUACAGGGCCCUGUCAAUCAAUACUUGAGGCGUCACUUCCUCCAUCAUGCUCGUAUGAGUGGGAGACCUUGGCCUUGUAAGGCUGUGUUGGAGGGGGAAGGGAAGAGUAGUGACAACAAAAUUCUUAGCUGUGUUGCAACACCUAACGGGAAUAAUAUACGUAAAAUUAAAAUAGGCCAUAUCACCUAAUUACUAAAUUUAGUGCGUAGUAAUGAUACCAAGGUGCAUGCACGUAUUUAGUGUCGUCCUGAUUCAGUAGCUUGCUCACAAGUAAUUUGCAUUCCUCUUGCGUCUGUAACGCGAAGAAGCGCAAUACUCGUCCCCUUUUCCACCACACGACCCCUUCUACCCUCAACAAGUUCCUGCUCCUUUGUUUGAAAUACCACUAGCUUGCUAACUUAGGUAGGAAACAACGUAGCCUUUUGUCUCGUGGCAUCAGCUCUUAUACGCUGAACAUAUCACCUAUCAUCAACUGUGCUACGCUGAACAUACAGACAUGCAACGUUAGCUAACUUAGCUAGCUUGAUGAUAAUAGGUCACCACUGUUAACGAGCUAUAACGAGUUGGAAUAUAAUUGAGUCAAUGGCCUAUGCUCCGAAGGAAGGCUGCUGUGAUCUAAGUGCUCAGCAGUUGCCACUAGUCGUUUUAAUACAUGUAGCUUAAACAUGGCUUUUAUGUCCGGUUGUCACAUUCACGUUUGAGAAUAAGUAAUACUCGUGGCACUUGUAUAUGGCAUAUUAGACCCUGACUUUAGAAACAGCGUAUUAAUAGUCAAUUUAAAAAAGGCAUAUCAGCAUUUUAUGGAAUGUGGGAGUUUUUUUUCCACCAAAUUGCAUGUUAUGGUGUGAAAAUAUUACCUGUUGGCCUGUUAGUUUCACAAGUAUUCAAAAAGUUUUACAUGAACAGAUUCAGAAAAUAGUGCAGAUCUUUCUUGAUCAUUCAUAUAUGACAGUGAUUUUGAAGUAAGAUUUGACAUUUAGUUGUCAGGGCCUAGAAUUGAGUCUUGCUCUUUUAGAGAUACAACCUGUCAGUCUUCACCUCACUAACUGUGUUUUUGUGCUGAAUUUUCUUGUGCAGCUGUGAACAAUCCUUAAAAUGUUGGAGGUGUGAAUUGUAAUGCAAGGAACAAUGUAAUUCUGAUUUUGAUGAAGCUUGUGCUGAAAUUUGUUAGAUUACUGGACAGUGCGAAUUAGAUUAUGUUUUUAUAGUGUUUUAAUGUGUUGUUUGUGGUGUUUGAUUAAAUAAUUUGUCCUUUUACGAAAAGUAAUGUUAAGUAUUGAUCAUUAACUUCUGUAUCAACAUAUGCACUUUAUAGUCAGUAGGAUUUUUGACAGGGAUAGUUUUUCUUUACUGUAUCUUACAGGAAGAUGUUUUAAUCCAUGUUACAGAGGGUUAUGAUUUUUAGCUCUCUUCAGAGAUGGUUUGCCUUGUAACUGUAACCUGGUAAGUAAUGAUGUAAAAUGUGCUUACACAUAAGGAAGAUAAGGAGGCUACAUGCCUUGAGCUUGCAAGCACAGAAGUGGGUUAUGUCCUUAGGCUUAAUCUUUCUGUUGCCAGAAUUAUCUUAAUAUUUAUAUGCCCUGCAUCCUCCAGGAUCCUAACCUUGGCUGUACACAAGGAGGGCGAAAGAUAGACCCCUACAGUGGUCUUGUCUAUGGUUUGUUUCAUUUUCGUUUGUUUUAUUUCUAUUACUCUCAUGUUUGCAUUGCAAUCAAGUGUGACUGGAAGUUACUUUAAAUAAUACUGAUGUAGUGCCAGUAUAUUACAGUCUGUGCAAUCCCUUGAUUUCAUAACUACCUUUUUCCUUAGGUUAACACUGUAAGUGUUUUCAUUGAUUUAGUCAGUUAAAGGAUAAACGGUUAAAAAAUAAAUAAAUCAAAGACAUGUCAAAACAAUAUCCAUGAUAAUAAUAGGUUAUGCAUGACCAACUGGUAUUUAUGGUAGAAAGUGUUUUUACAUGGUACUUUAGCACAAGCUUCAGAUGACCUUACAGGCACAAGUUAGUCCAAGUCUACUGAAGAUGAAGUGUGAAAUGGAAGGCAAAUUAUAUUGUUUUAAUGUAAGUGUUAUGGAGUACACUUGCACAUAUCACAUCAUUCACAAAUUAGGCUGGUAUUGUAAAUAUAACAAGAGCUGUUUCAGGAACAUCAUGGGACAAAGGAUGAAAAAUUUAAAGUUAAUGUCUCACUUUUAAAAUAAAACUCGUUAUCAAAGAACAUACGAUGUGAAAGUGAUUCCCCCCCCACUGUUGAUGUCUGGCUCCUUUUCAUGCUUGCCACGAAUUAGCCUGGCUGAUUUUACGAGAGUCUCCCGUGGGGGGCUUGUGUGAGGAGGGACAGAUUUAUGACACCGUGGUUACAUUGCUCAUCCUCUGACGCAGUCUGACUCAAUCAAUGGGGGAUGCACCAGCGGGUUCCAUUUACAGGCAGGUCCGUACGCUACCAAACAGGGACUAUCGGGUUUCAGUGGUGAGUACCCAAAUGUGCAGAGGAGUGCUCGUGAUAUCAGAAAAAGGAAAUAAAAAUGGUGGGAAGAAAUGGCUGCCGUUUCUGCCGCUGCCGUCUGAACGGCUGCACUCUGCCAAGGGCCCCUGUUAGAUUCUUUAUUGAGCUGCGUGGUCCUUUAUUGAGCUAAUCUAAUGGAGGCCCAGUGCCAGCGCCUCAGCGCUUCUCUGGUCCUGUCCCUCUGCCAGUUUCCCUUUCAUUUUUCUGUGCUUGGGGAUAUUUCGGACCAACCGCUCGCUCCCAUCUGUGUUGCGGGAUGCCGAAAUGCCCCCGUCGGAGGUGAAACGCCCUGUUUGCCAUUCGAUGCUAACGCUUGCUAGUACGGGUUCACGGAAGCCGAUCUGGGAUAGCUGCCAAGCCCAGGCAGAAUAUGAACGAUUGGCUAAAGAAAAAAAAAAAAAAAAAUCAUUCUUCGUAUUUGCUCUAAAGAGCAGGGCAGUUGGUGAAUGAGCGCAUGCAUGUUGUUUUUCUUUUACAAGUGUCCAUGUGGUCCUUAAGGCUUGAGCUCACCUUAUUUGAAAGACUGACUUGUGUGCUUUAGCAUAUUAACGUGGCUGAAUAAAGGCUCAUUUUGUGAGGGAAUUAGCAUGCAUCAGAAGGGCACGUCUUUUCAUGAAGUCUUUGUGCAAAGAUGUUCGUCCUGGCUCAGAUUUAGAUCAGGGCUGAAGAGAAAACACUCAAAGCAGGAACAGAUGAAGGGGAUUCCAAAUUUUGCCCAACAACAACCACCCCAGUUUUUGGGCAAACCUUUUGUAAAGGAGUACAGUUAGGCUCACUUUUUCAAUAUAUUGUUUGAUUACAGUUUCAAAUAGAAAAGCCUAUUUUUUAUCAGCAGUGUACUGAUUCUGUAAUGAGAGUGACUAAGAAUUAAUGAAGUGCGGAUGACAUAUUACUUAAGCCUAAAAAGCUAAAGCAAUGACCUGGGAAUGGUAUUUGCUCCUGCUCAUAGCCAAACGCUUUCUUUACUUAUUCACAAUACUGUAUAAACCUGUGCACAUUGAAAGCAGACAGUUUAUAAACAGACAAAAUGGCGUCCGAGUCAAAAACAGCAUUAAACUGUACAACGGCAGAGCAGUGUUUCUGCGGAAGCUUUGUUCCUGUGCACACUGCGCCUGUGCCCUUUAAAGCUGAAGAAAGAAAGUGAUAGAGAGAAGCAGAGGCAAAUUGUGAAGUCAUGGCUAAUCUUGACUGAGGAGCCAGGGAGCUGCCAAGGCAGGGGCACAAUAACAACAUGGCUUCCUUGGCGCAGUGAGAGUGCCAGCGGCAGGACCGGUCUUGCCAUUUCACCGUGCUGCACAGUGCUUUUUCAGGAGCUAGGAAACAAUCUGGACCAAAAAGCCAACCGCAGGCGAAUGCGGAAAGCAGCGGUUUUCUUUUGCCCGGCUUAUUUUCUUUUUAAAUUGCAGCUAAUUAAAUACAUAGUCUUAAUGUUUUAAAUUGCCAUUCUUAACGUAGUAUUAUCAAUUAAGUGGUGUUUAGGAUAGUCAGUACACCCGUUGACGGUAUUCCGUUUCUUUUGCAGUUAACCCUUUCUGUUUGUCACAGUUGCUGUGAAUGAAUGAAGCAGAUGGUUUUUGGCUUAGUCAUUUAAAAAAGAACCCUUACUGGAACUUCACACAGUUUAAAACAUUUUUGUAUUUAUAUUUAUAGUGUGAUAUAUUAAUAAUAAUAAUAAUAAUAAUAAUAACUAAAAACUUUAUUGUUCACAUAUUGUAGUAAUUUACACUACAACUGAUUGAUUGGGUAACACUGCAAAUGAUGUGUUUCUAUUGUUAUGUAGCAUAUGUGAUGCUUACUUUUUUCCUGACAGGUAGAGAGAAGCCAGUUGCACUGUGGGAUGAGGUAGUAGGUUGUAUAGUUUUAGGGUCACACCCACACUGGGAGAUAACUAUACAACCUACUGUCUUUCUCAAAGAGCCACAAAUUCUUCUGAAUCAUCACCACCUACAAAGAAUCACAUUGUGCAACUGACUUUUUUAUUUUACAUUUUAAAUUAAAUUUUUAGGAAUGCCAUGUGGAUAAAGCUGACCUUUUCUACAAGGUUGGCACUGAUCAGCAAGAUGCAAUGAGUGGGAAUGCUUUGGAUAAAUGAUUCAUGUCUCAUUGACUCAUUUAUUCCUUGCUCAGAUGAAUUUUCAGAAAUACUUCCAAAUGCUCAGCCAGUGUGAGGUAGUAGAUUGUAUAGUUGUGGGGUAGUGAUUUUUACCCUGUUUGGAAGAUAACUAUACAAUCUAUUGCCUUCCCUGAGGAGCAGAAAAGCACCACUUCUGUGUCAUUUUACGGACUUGUUUUUAAGCUUGUGAAUAUUCCUUUUUCCUGUUGUCAAUAUCAGUUAAGUGUUUGCUGGAGGCACAUUUUCUGCAUGCAGUAAAGAAGUGAGAGCAUGAGAAAAGAUGGGUGUGCGCUUCAGAUAUGACUUCAAUUCAGUUUGGAUUAUUGUGUAAACCUGUACCUGAGUGACCCUCCCCUUUGCAAAGCCAGGCUGCCUCUGGCUUGGCAGGACCCAGCUGUCCAGUAAACAUGCUUUUUCACAGCCCACAAAACCAGCCUUCAUUGAGGCUGACCUCAGGCCAGUACUCGCUUUUGUGCGCCUGCGUGUGUGGGUGUGUAAUGCAAUUGGUUGAGAACAGCAUUUGGCCUUGAAAUAAACGUAGCCGUAGCAGGAUAGAACUGGUCACUAUCGAUAGGUGUUCAUCUGGUCAAGAUUAUAAAGUGCAUACUGAAUGAACUUCACAGUUCAAGACCAAGGGCAUUCUGGGAGAAAAAGUACCCUUGGGGCUCCUGGGUAGAGGUAGCAGAUUGCAUAGUUGUAGGGCAGGGAUUUUGCCCCAGUGGAGAUAACUAUACAACCUGCUGCCUUUCUUAGGGCUUCACAAUCACAGCACAUUUGUGUUCUCCCUCUCCACAACGGAAACAUGAGAAACGCUAGCGCAUUGACGACACGCUCAUUCAGAGUAAAAUAUCCAGAGAGAUGGGCCACCGUCAAUGUAAUUUAUCAAAUGCAUUAAUGUGUACAUGGUUAUUUAAGUGUUAGGCAUAAAGAACGCAUUUAUCUGCUUUCAGACCCAUUGUAAAAUGGGUUUGCUGGGAUAGAAAGACCUCUGAAGGUUUGUCAUGAUAUACUUCUGCAUGUUUGGGUGAUGUCCAUUCAGACUAUAUGGUCAUCUUGGCCAUAUGUGAGCAGGCAGCAUGACCUGCUGGUUACAUACUUUAAUUUUCAAACAACAGCUUCAGAACGCACUUUUGGAAGUCAGUUGACCAGACUGUUAUGUGGGUUAGGCUGUACAGCAGUUGAUUGGUUGUAAAUGACAACCAGAAGUUUGUUUUGGUAACAAAGAACUGAUGUCCAUCCAGUGAUUUAUUUAAUUUAGGACACUCAUUCAGAGCACGUUUCUUGAACUUCUCAUGUCUGUUUAUACAUUUUAAUGUUUGCAUUUUUUGUCAUUCCAGAAUGGUUAAGAAUCUUAUUUUCUUUCAAUAAAGAACUGUAAAACUCA